rnacentral:rRNA from 1 species
CCUACGGGAGGCAGCAGUGGGGAAUAUUGCACAAUGGGGGAAACCCUGAUGCAGCGACGCCGCGUGAGCGAUGAAGGAUUUCGGUAUGUAAAGCUCUAUCAGCAGGGAAGAAAAUGACGGUACCUGACUAAGAAGCGCCGGCUAACUACGGGCCAGCAGCCGCGGGAAUACGUAGGGCGCAAGCGUUAUCCGGAUGUACUUGGUGUAAAGGGAGCGUAGGCGGGGGUGCAAGCCAGGUGUGAAAGCCCGGGGGUUAAACCCCGGACUGCAAUUGAAACUGUGCUUCGGGAGUGGAGGAGAGGCAGGCGGAAUUCGUGGUGUAGCGGUGAAAUGCGUAGAUAUUAGGAGGAACCCCAGUGGCGAAGGCGGCCUGCUGGAUGAUGACUGACGUUGAGGCUCGAAAGCGUGGGGAGCAAACAGGAUUAGAUACCCGAGUAGUC